rnacentral:misc_RNA from 1 species
CCCCUCGCGAACCUUCCUUCCCAUCUUCUCGUUAUCGUCUCGUCCACCCUGCGCCGGGAAAUGCUGCCCAGGCUCGCUCUGUCGCAUGGCGCUGCUGCUGCUGCUGCUGCCGUGCCUCUCGCCGUCACCAUUAGCACGGCUUCUGCGACGUCUGUUUCUCAGCGCUGGUGCAGUAGCAUGACAAGUGACAAGCCCGACGCAACCGGUGCUAACCCGUUCACUUCCGCAAUCGCAAAGACCUUACGCGAGAAGGUGUUUUCGCAGGACUUUACUGCCGUGAAGGCUGCCACACCGAAGGAGACGGAGCUACUAAAAAGGUGGCGCACUGGUGACGGCACACCAGAGCAAUCCCCGCGCCAACCGGCGGCGCCCGGCACGGCCGACUCAUCCGACGUGGAACCGCAGAUUGCAGAGGGCGCUCAGAAUGUGGCCGUGUCGCACGGGAAGACGUUCCGCGACUCCCGUCCUGCCGACCCCGAGGAGAGUGUAGAGUGCAAGCGCCGUCGGCUCAUCUACCAAUCGCGCUACCGCGGUAUGGUGGAGAUGGACCUCAUCUUCGGCCACUUUGCGCGGUGCAAGCUCGAGACCCUCGACGCGUCUAUGCUGGAUGAAUACGACGUGCUCCUGAAGCAGCUGGACAGCGAGCUGUUCCGCUGGCUGGUCAUGGGCGUGGAUGCGCCGGAGGGGGUGGCGAAGCUGCGCUGCUUUGACGAGCUGCGCCGCUUCAUCAAAGAGGAACGUACAGAGCUGCUGGGCUCCAACUGAGCAGGACUGGAGAGGCUUCUCCCCCUUCCCAUCGUGAGAGCGACCGCCCUUCUGCUACCGGCUCGUCGCGCGAAGCUGAGCAGCGUGAGACGACGCGUCGUGCUGCCGUUCCUUUGGAAAUGCCACCCCCUUCCUUCCCUCCGCCCUCCGCCUCUCUCUUUGUGAAAUCCGCUGCCGCUCGCAUUCACCAACGCACGAGUAAGGCAAGUGCUGACGCGGUUUACAAAAGCUUUACAUCUCUUGCUGCCUUCCUCGCUCGCUCCUUCCUCCGUUUGGUUUCUACUUUAUGGGUGGUUCUGCAUUCGUGUGUGCCUUGUGAUGGGUGUGCGAUGCUGUUGUGCUGCGCGGAUGCGUGAACGCACGGAGGACGACGCCGCAGGAAAAAAAAAAUGGUGAACCGCCCUCCCCACUGACGUUGUCCACCCCCAUCCCUCCCCCGCUUGCCGUUCACCUUCUAUGCGCUCAUCUUUGAGCAGGAGUGGUGACAGCGGGCUAUGGGGAUCAGAGAGACGGAGACGCUGGAGCUGCCAAGCACCUUGUUCUCCUUUGCAAUCCUGUGCUUGGGGUGGAGCGCCCCUCACCCUUCUCACCUCUGUUUCGUUCUUGGCCGGCACACUCCCGUUUCGACGUGAGUCGAUGCUUCCGACACGUGAGCGCCACCCUCCGUUGCGCCUCCUCUUUCUCCGUCUCUCGCUGGCUGCAUGGGCCCUACACGAGGUGUAUGUGGGUGUCAUCACUCCACAUAUCUCCGAUAGCAUGGAAGAGGUGACUACUGCCUUUGCCCGUCGUGGACGUCGCUCUUGGGACGGAUGAGGGGGUAGGGAGGGGGGUUCACCCAAGAUAGGGCGAAAAGCAAGUGCUACCGAUACGCGCAUCAUCGUCACUCCCACAUACUCUCUCCUUUCUCUUUCCUUCCAUGCCUUCUUUACCAUAACUCGAUGUUGUAUCAUAAUAUUCAUCCGGCGCAACCCCCCUUUUUUUUUCGGCGCAAAACGAUGGCUGGCACGCACACGCACGUGGGUGCAUGGAUCCCCACCCCUUCUUUGCUCUUCCCGAUUCGUUGCUCGCCUUUACUUUUUGUUUUUGCUCCCAUCAACACCGACGCCUGCGCUAG